ensembl:Y_RNA Y_RNA Y RNA
GGCUGGUCUGAGUGUAGUGGUGUUUACGACUAAUUGAUCAUAACCAGUUACAGAUUUCUUUGUUGCUUCUCGACUUCUCAUAUGUCACGUGACUAGCCUUAA